UUAUAGUCUAUGAAAAUAUUUGGAACAUCCCUUUUUUCUGGAAAAAGCCUUUUUAGAGCUGUUAUAUCCUUCACACCUUUGAAAAAAUAUGUGCAAAAUGAGUUGAGCAUAUUUUUUGUAAACAUUAUGCAUAAUAUGGAACUCCAGUAUAAAAAUAUGCAUAAUAAUAUUUUUUAGAUAGUUUACUUUCACUAUCGAAUUAAAAAACCUCAAAGUUAAGGAAUAUGCAUAUGAGCUGUCUCUUGUAAACCUGACUUCUGUCUAUUAAUGAUUCCGAGCGCGUGCACGCAUAUUCAGCAUAAAAAAAGAGUUCGCACUUCUAUCAUCUUUCUGCAUACUCAGUUCACACAUUUUUAUAACACCUACGGAAAUCUUUAAAAACAAAUAUCUCGUUAGUAAAUUUUCGCAUAUAUGCCUUUACGUUUGUGGUCUCUUUUUCCGAAAGCUUCCUAUUGGCUCAUUGAAAUUUUCGGUAAUGAAAAGCUGAAUAAAUUAUGCACAAAAGGUUCCCGGAUUUUUUUGUAUAAAUUACUGAUUAGCGAAUUAUGACGACAGAAAGAAAAAAAUAUGCAUUUUUUUGAAUGAUUAUAUAUAAUUACAAAUAAUUUCAUAACGACGUUAUUAGAAAAAAAAAACGGGAACCUUUUUAAAUUUAAUUUAUGUUAAAUAUAAUGGUGCAAAAACGAGAAGUCUGCGACCACGCGUUCGGAAAAAGAAGCCAUUUUAAAACGUACGGUGAAAAAAAAUUGGUGUGUGUUUAUUUCAUAAUAUUUUCUUUUUGGAAAAUUACCAUCUCACGAAAAUAACACCAUCAAAAAAGUCUUUCAUCAAGCAUUCAGAAACAAAAAAAACAUAAAAAAAUAUAUAAAAGUAUUGAUAAAUUAUAAGGGUUUUUCUGAGACUACUUAUCAAGUGAGUUUUUCCUUUACAGUAACCUUAGUACGGUCUACGACCAAUUAUGAUGUGUGUUAUACAUUUUCAAAAUUAUCGCCUAAAAAAGCCCUCUAACCUUAUAAAAUUAGUUAAUAAAGCAUAAAAAGGAUAAAAUAUGAAAUUGAAUGACUUGUUAACAUGACAACAGACGUGACAUCACACAAACUAUUUUGACUGUCCUACAGUUAACUGAAAAUGAUGAAAAGUCACUAAAUUUCAAUCAGAAAAACCUGUCUGUUUCAGUAUUUGUUACAAAAACACUGGGGUGGGGAGGGGGGGGAGGAAGGGGGGAACUACAUAUGUAUACCUCCCUGGUUAAAACGAUAUCACAUCUUUUUCUCCUUUUUUUAUUAAGACAUUAAGCUUGAACGUUCCUGCACAAGAGACUACACAGGUAUUCCGAAUGGUUAUGUUGAAGUAAAAGCAAACACAGGAACUAAAAUCUUGCCGCGUAAAAUACAAGAAGAGUUGUAUCAAGACUUGAAAUGCGCAAUUACAAGACUGAAAUUUAUCACCCUUGAUCGAAAGGCACAUGGUCCUGCAUUAACUUUGAAAAUCACUCGGCCGGAAUCACACAAAGUUGUUCCAUCUAUCUCAACCAAUCAAAUCAGUCUUGUUGAUUUCAACUGGCCGAGAAUUCAAACAAAGAAAGUGUUGUCUAACAGACUGAUCAAUGCAAUCCACGCUGCUGGUUUGCACUUAAUACCAAAGAAUGUGUUGUUUUGAUACGUAUCGGUCUCCAAAGCAGGAAACACUUUAAUGAACGGCUGGACGUUGAAGACAGUGGGUGUCGAAGUUAUUGCCACAAACUGCUAAAAGCAGACUUUCAUGGAUGGAAAAAGCAAUCCGCCAAUGGGUUACCAGGAAUAUCAACAAUGCUUUUUAAGCAUCAAUUGUUCUGGAUGAAUGAAGAGAAUCCAAACAAGGAUUGGUCCAAAUAUUGCCUGCAUGAAAGAUACAUUAAUAUGCUUGAUGAUUUGAUUUUACGUUUGAGAAACGGAUCAUUAUAUAACUAUUUUCGAGAU